rnacentral:rRNA from 1 species
GACGAACGCUGGCGGCGUGCUUAACACAUGCAAGUCGAACGAUGAAGCCGGAGCUUGCUCUGGUGAAUUAGUGGCGAACGGGUGAGUAACACGUGAGUAACCUGCCCUUGACUCCGGGAUAACUGCGGGAAACUGUAGCUAAUACCGGAUACGACCCUCGGAGGCAUCUCCUGGGGGUGGAAAGAACUUCGGUCAAGGAUGGACUCGCGGACUAUCAGCUAGUUGGUGAGUUAAAGGCUCACUAAGGCGACGACGGGUAGCCGGCCUGAGCGGGUGACCGGCCACACUGGGACUGAGACAAGGCCCAGACUCCUACGGGAGGCAGCAGUGGGGAAUAUUGCACAAUGGGCGCAAGCCUGAUGCAGCAACGCCGCGUGAGGGAUGACGGCCUUCGGGUUGUAAACCUCUUUUAGCAGGGAAGAAGCGAAAGUGACGGUACCUGCAGAAAAAGCACCGGCUAACUACGUGCCAGCAGCCGCCGUAA